CGAACGAGAAAGUUCCUUCGGGAGCGAGUAAAGUGGCGGACGGGUGAGUAACGCGUAGGAAUCUACCUUUCAGUGGGGGAUAGCUCGGGGAAACUCGAAUUAAUACCGCAUAUACCCUUCGGGGGAAAGGGGGCCUCUCCUUGGAAGCUCUCGCUGUUAGAUGAGCCUGCGUGAGAUUAGCUUGUUGGUAAGGUAAUGGCUUACCAAGGCUACGAUCUCUAGCUGGUCUGAGAGGACGAUCAGCCACACUGGGACUGAGACACGGCCCAGACUCCUACGGGAGGCAGCAGUAGGGAAUAUUGGACAAUGGGGGCAACCCUGAUCCAGGCAUGCCGCGUGUGUGAAGAAGGCCUUAGGGUUGUAAAGCACUUUAAGUGAGGAAGAAAAGAUUUAGAUUAAUACUUUAAGUCCCUGACAUUACUCACAGAAUAAGGACCGGCUAACUCCGUGCCAGCAGCCGCGGUAAUACGGAGGGUCCAAGCGUUAAUCGGAAUUACUGGGCGUAAAGCGCGCGUAGAUGGUUUAUUCAGUUGGGUGUGAAAUCCCUGGGCUCAACCUAGGAACUGCAUUCAAAACUUAUAAACUAGAGUACGAAAGAGGAGAGUAGAAUUCAUGGUGUAGCGGUGAAAUGCGUAGAGAUCAUGAGGAAUACCAGUGGCGAAGGCGACUCUCUGGUUCGAGACUGACAUUGAGGUGCGAAAGCGUGGGUAGCAAACAGGAUUAGAUACCCUGGUAGUCCACGCCGUAAACGAUGAGAACUAGCCGUUGGAUCUUUAGAUUCAGUGGCGCAGCUAACGCAUUAAGUUCUCCGCCUGGGGAGUACGGCCGCAAGGCUAAAACUCAAAUGAAUUGACGGGGGCCCGCACAAGCGGUGGAGCAUGUGGUUUAAUUCGAUGCAACGCGAAGAACCUUACCAACCCUUGACAUCCAGUGGAAGUUUUAGAGAUAAACUGU
rnacentral:rRNA from 1 species